rnacentral:rRNA from 1 species
CUUCUUUUUCCACCGGAGCUUGCUCCACCGGAAAAAGAGGAGUGGCGAACGGGUGAGUAACACGUGGGUAACCUGCCCAUCAGAAGGGGAUAACACUUGGAAACAGGUGCUAAUACCGUAUAACAAUCGAAACCGCAUGGUUUUGAUUUGAAAGGCGCUUUCGGGUGUCGCUGAUGGAUGGACCCGCGGUGCAUUAGCUAGUUGGUGAGGUAACGGCUCACCAAGGCCACGAUGCAUAGCCGACCUGAGAGGGUGAUCGGCCACAUUGGGACUGAGACACGGCCCAAACUCCUACGGGAGGCAGCAGUAGGGAAUCUUCGGCAAUGGACGAAAGUCUGACCGAGCAACGCCGCGUGAGUGAAGAAGGUUUUCGGAUCGUAAAACUCUGUUGUUAGAGAAGAACAAGGAUGAGAGUAACUGUUCAUCCCUUGACGGUAUCUAACCAGAAAGCCACGGCUAACUACGUGCCAGCAGCCGCGGUAAUACGUAGGUGGCAAGCGUUGUCCGGAUUUAUUGGGCGUAAAGCGAGCGCAGGCGGUUUCUUAAGUCUGAUGUGAAAGCCCCCGGCUCAACCGGGGAGGGUCAUUGGAAACUGGGAGACUUGAGUGCAGAAGAGGAGAGUGGAAUUCCAUGUGUAGCGGUGAAAUGCGUAGAUAUAUGGAGGAACACCAGUGGCGAAGGCGGCUCUCUGGUCUGUAACUGACGCUGAGGCUCGAAAGCGUGGGGAGCAAACAGGAUUAGAUACCCUGGU